AGCAGCCCAUUCAGUAGCCUGGCAUUUAAGCUAAGUUCUACGGAAUCCUGUAUGCUGAUGCAAUUGUUUUUGAGAGAGUUAGGUCCAGAAUGUUGCUUAGUUUCUAUUCUGAAAGCAUCUCUGCCAACUCUAGAGAGUUUAGAUAUCUACUUAUUUAUAUCUACAUCUAUCUAUAUUUAUAUUAAACAAAAGUGACAGGACAUGGUAAUAGAUGCAAUGUAUAGGUGAAUUAGAGAGAGGUAUCAAGCUUGACUCCCAGGUUUCUGAUAGAAUGGCUGAAUUGAUGGCAAUACCUUUCACUGAGAGGAAACAUUGGCAGAAAACCAGUUUUGAAUGAAGAGGAUGCUUCCUUUUCCUUCUGACAUGAGUGGAACCAGCCAUAGGCCCUCAUCAGAGGCAGAUGCUGGCACUUUGCUUCUCGUACAGCCUGCAGAAUGUUAAUACUCUUGGAUAAUGUAUUUAAGGAUGCUUAAGAAAUUGCAACAGCCAGUUCAACCUUCAGCAACCACCAUACUGAUCAGUAGUCAUCAACAUUGAGACGAGACUGUACACCAGCAAAAAGAUCCCAACUCAAUGAAGGCUCAGAUGAUUUUAGCAUUUUUUUAGCAAUAAAGCAUUUUUAAAUUAAACUAUAUACAUUGUUGUUUUAGACAAGUUUUUGCACAUUCAGAAUACAGUAAAGUGUAAACAUGACUUUUAUAUACACUGGGGAAACCAAAAAAUUUGUGUGACUUACUUUAUUGCAAUAUUUGUUUUAUUGUGCUGAUCUGGAGCUAAAUAUAUCUGAGAUAUGCUUGUACUGAUGAUUAUUUUAACACCAAGAUAUUUUAAAAUUCAUUAAAUAAAUGUUUAUUUAAAUAGACCUCUAGCAUACAUUUACUGGUAACUAAAGGCUUUGUUAACAAAGGGAAAUACUAAAUUAUUAAGGUUUUGCAUGACUUUGAAAAUUUCUAUAUUGAAUUAUAAAUACUAUGGAAUUAUAGCCUUUUUUUUGUUUUUUAAAUCAAAGAUUUAAAUUUUUCUCAAAUGCAUCUUUAUGAUUGAAGUCUGCUUAUCAUUAACAUUUGAUAUCAGAAGCACUAAUUCUUUGUUGUAGCCUUGUUUCAUCAAAAGCUGAUCAACUAUGUCUGUAUGAGUCUGUCAGAGAGCUGAAAAAGUAAUCAAAGGUCAAGAUGGAAGCUGCAGCUACAUACAGGAUCCCUGUGCCAGAUCAUGAGAGCUGAGAGUUACGACACAGAUAGUUCUGGGUGAAAAGCUUACUAGUAAUAGAGUAUAAUAUGUUUUAAUUUAAAAACAAUUUACUAUAUUUAAUUCAAACUAAAAUCAUAAAAUCAUUAGAAUAAACUAUAGGGAUAAAUUUUAAUGACCUUGGCAACAAAAGAAAAAGUAAAAAAAAAAAUGGGCUUCACAAAUAUUAAAAACUUUAGUGCAUCAAAGGACAUUAUCAAGAAAUUGAAAGGCUCUCUGGAAGAAUGGGAGAAGAUAUUUGCAAAUCAUAUGUUUGGUGGGGGAACAGGAUCCAUAAUAUAUAAAGAAUUCCUACAACUCAGCAACAAAAAGACAAACAACCCAGUUAAAAAGUUGGCAGAGGACUUGAAUAGAUAUUUCUCUAGAAAAUAUACAAAUAGCCAACAAGCACAUGAAAACAUAUUCAAAAUCAUUAAUCAUAAGGUAAAUACAAAUCAAAACCACAAUGAAAUACCAGUUCAAACCUAUUAAUAUAGUAAUAAUAAUAAUAAUAGGCUGGGUGCGGUAGCUCAUGCCUGUAAUCCCAG
rnacentral:lncRNA from 10 species